rnacentral:rRNA from 1 species
CUGGUUCCCUUGAGUACGCGCAACGCCGGCGGAAUUCGUCGUGUAGCGGUGAAAUGCCUAGAUAUGACGAAGAACCCCGAUUGCGAAGGCAGCCGGCGGGAGCGCAACUGACGCUGAAGCUCGAAGGUGCGGGUAUCGAACAGGAUUAGAUACCCUGGUAGUCCGCACGGUAAACGAUGGAUGCCCGCUGUCGGCGCCUUGCGCCGGCGGCCAAGCGAAAGCGUUAAGCAUCCCACCUGGGGAGUACGCCGGCAACGGUGAAACUCAAAGGAAUUGACGGGGGCCCGCACAAGCGGAGGAACAUGUGGUUUAAUUCGAUGAUACGCGAGGAACCUUACCCGGGCUUGAAUUGCAGGAGAACGAAACAGAGAUGUUGAGGUCCUUCGGGACUCCUGUGAAGGUGCUGCAUGGUUGUCGUCAGCUCGUGCCGUGAGGUGUCGGCUUAAGUGCCAUAACGAGCGCAACCCCUCUCCCCAGUUGCCAUCGGGUGAUGCCGGGCACUCCGGGGACACUGCCGCCGCAAGGUGCGAGGAAGGCGGGGAUGACGUCAAAUCAGCACGGCCCUUACGUCCGGGGCUACACACGUGUUACAAUGGCCGGCACAGAGUGCUGGUGCGGCGCGAGCCGCAUCGAAUCUUGAAAACCGGUCUCAGUUCGGACUGGGGUCUGCAACCCGACCCCACGAGGCUGGAUUCGCUAGUAAUCGCGCAUCAGCCACGGCGCGGUGAAUACGUUCCCGGGCCUUGUACACACCGCCCGUCAAGCCAUGAAAGCCGGGGGUGCCUGAAGUCCGUGACCGCGAGGAUCGGCCUAGGGCAAAACUGGUGAUUGGGGCUAAGUCGUAACAAGGUAACC